GGGGACAGAGAGGGGGGCCCCAGCACUUAGGAGGGGACGGCACGAGCAGAGUUCCAAAGCUAGUCUUCACUAUAGAGAGUCUGAGGACAGCCCGGGCUUCAAUAGGCCAUCUCUCGGAAAUCCCCAAAGAAAAGAAAAAUGAGAGGCACCGAGUGGUUUGCCAUCCCAGCCCUCACUAUCACCAGGAGGUAAAUGUCAAUAGGAGGUCUGGAGGCCGGCUCGUCCCUUCCACGAUUCGGUGCCUUCACCUGUUCCGUUCAUGGGAAUGUCCACAGCCCCAUACAAGCUCCCUACAGGACCCCUCCGUUUGAACCGCUCCUCUCCCGGAAGCCCCUCCCAGCGCUCUCCAUGUCUACUGCAAGGCUCGAGGAGUCUUUUCCUCACCGUGCACUUAUAAUUGUAUCUUUAUUCUGAUUAAAAAAAAAAAACUA